CACGCCGUAAACGAUGAGCACUAGGUGUCGGGGUCGCAAGACUUCGGUGCCGCAGUUAACGCAUUAAGUGCUCCGCCUGGGGAGUACGCACGCAAGUGUGAAACUCAAAGGAAUUGACGGGGACCCGCACAAGCAGCGGAGCAUGUGGUUUAAUUCGAAGCAACGCGAAGAACCUUACCAGGGCUUGACAUCCCUCUGACAGUCCCUUAACCGGGACCUUCUUCGGACAGAGGAGACAGGUGG
rnacentral:rRNA from 1 species